CUCGCGAAAAAUGGGUAAAUGAUAUGAGAACAAAAACGAUACAUUAAACUGGCUUCAUUAAAUUUAUAAAACGAAAGUUAACUCCCACUAUGUUACCACGUAAAUGGAGAGCACUUAUAAAUGAUGUUUUUCUCUAAUGGGAUUUUCAUAUGUUAAAUCAAAAAGACAUAAUUCAUUGUGGUAUAACUAGAGAUGAAGAAUGAAUUACUGUAAGAUAUUUGUGAAGUGAGAAUACGCAAAAGUCUAAUAACAAAAUGCUUUACUUAUGUUAACUUGGGAAUUAUAGAGGAAUAACCUUUUACUCCUUGUGGGCAACAAAUCUCAAACGACGAUAUUGUAGGAACCAUUUACCAUCGCUCCUACAGUCAGUCACCAACAAGGCAUUAUAAACUGUUUCACGAAUGAUGUCCUUCCAUUGUGGAAAGGCGUGAUAGAAAUGCUGUGCAAAGGUAUCUAGCCAUUCACGGACGUCUUUGUUAAGAAGUGUUGGUCGAGAAAUGUUCUCAACGUAUUCAACAUGGAAUCCGGCCUCUUCCAACAUUCGGGUAUAAUCAUCCUCAGAGCCAAAAAACCAAGGAUUUGCUUGGUCAAUCUGCUCCUUUGUAGCUCCAAGAGCAAGUAGAAUAGAAUAAAUGCUACCAACAACCUCUGAAACGUUGCCAAAAGCACCACAUUCUGCGACGAAACGGCCUUUGGUGCGCAGAACCCGAGAAACGCCUUUCAUUACGAUAGGACGAUUUUUUGGUUGUCGCAUAAUCCAGUGCAAAGCAGCAUUGCUGAAGACAACGUCAAAGGAUUCGGAUGGGAUCUCAGAUGCAUCAAGCAAUUUUUCGCCUGGAAUGACAUACGCAUUCAAACCAAGUUCACGAGCAGCCUUAAUCAUGUCCGGACUCGCGUCAAUACCUACCACCCGCCUGCACUGCGAAACUAAUUCGUUGGUGAGAACACCAUCGCCGCAACCCAAAUCAAGAAGUUCAUCAGACGAUGACAAGUUUAUUCUCUUAACAAUGUCUUUCGUCAGUUUUGGAACGAAAGAUGCAUUUCGCUGAUAGUCCUUUGCUGACCUAAUUCAAUUCUGGCGUUAAUAUUUAACACAUUACGAAUGCAUGCUUACCAGUAAUCCUCAGGCAUUAUGAUGAUUGAAAUUUAUAAAAAAUUCACGAACUAGUAACAAAAAAAUAUCUUCUAUAUAUAAUAAUAAUUGUUGUCCUUAUAUUGAAGAUGAAUCUUAGAUACGGUGUUAACGUGGUUC